UACGUAGGUGGCAAGCGUUGUCCGGAUUUAUUGGGCGUAAAGAGCGCGCAGGCGGUUCGUUAAGUGCGAGGUGAAAUCUCCCGGCUCAACUGGGAGGGGUCUUCGCAUACUGGCGGGCUUGAGGAGAGCAGAGGUGAGCGGAAUUCUCGGUGUAGUGGUGAAAUGCGUAGAUAUCGAGAGGAACACCGGUGGCGAAGGCGGCUCACUGGGCUCCACCUGACGCUGAGGCGCGAAAGCGUGGGGAGCGAACCGGAUUAGAUACCCGGGUAGUCCACGCUGUAAACGAUGGGCACUAGGUGUGGGAGGUAUUGACCCCUUCCGUGCCGUAGCUAACGCAAUAAGUGCCCCGCCUGGGGAGUACGGCCGCAAGGCUAAA
rnacentral:rRNA from 1 species